GAGUAACGCGUGGGUAACCUGCCUCAUACAGGGGGAUAACAGUUAGAAAUGACUGCUAACACCGCAUAAUAUAGCGAAACCGCAUGAUUUUGCUAUCAAAUAGUUUAUAGGUAUGAGAUGGGCCCGCGUCUGAUUAGCUAGUUGGUGGGGUAAAAGCCUACCAAGGCGACGAUCAGUAGCCGGCUUGAGAGAGUGACCGGCCACAUUGGGACUGAGACACGGCCCAAACUCCUACGGGAGGCAGCAGUGGGGAAUAUUGGACAAUGGGGGAAACCCUGAUCCAGCGGAACCGCCGCGUGAGUGAAGAAGUAUUUCGGUAUGUAAAGCUCUAUCAGCAGGGAAGAUAAUGACAGUACCUGACUAAGAAGCCCCGGCUAACUACGUGCCAGCCGCUGC
rnacentral:rRNA from 1 species